rnacentral:rRNA from 1 species
UUGAGAGAGCGGGUAUGAGUACUCUACGUUCCGUAGGUGAACCUGCGGAAGGAUCAUUA